UGGGGAAUCUUAGACAAUGGGGGAAACCCUGAUCUAGCCAUGCCGCGUGAGCGAUGAAGGCCUUAGGGUUGUAAAGCUCUUUCAGCUGGGAAGAUAAUGACGGUACCAGCAGAAGAAGCCCCGGCUAACUCCGUGCCAGCAGCCGCGGUAAUACGGAGGGGGCUAGCGUUGUUCGGAAUUACUGGGCGUAAAGCGCACGUAGGCGGAUUAGUCAGUCAGAGGUGAAAUCCCAGGGCUCAACCCUGGAACUGCCUUUGAUACUGCUAGUCUUGAGGUCGAGAGAGGUGAGUGGAAAUUUCCCGAGUGUAGAGGUGAAAUUCGUAGAUAUUCGGAGGAACACCAGUGGCGAAGGCGGCUCACUGGCUCGAUACUGACGCUGAGGUGCGAAAGCGUGGGGGAGCAAAACAGGAUUAGAUACCCUGGUAGUCCACGCCGUAAACGAUGAAUGCCAGUCGUCGGGUUGCAUGCAAUUCGGUGACACACCUAACGGGAUUAAGCAUUCCGCCUGGGGAGUACGGUCGCAAGAUU
rnacentral:rRNA from 1 species